rnacentral:tRNA from 1 species
GAUUUCUUAGUUCAGUGGUUAGAACUUCUGAUUGCGGUUCAGAGGGUCGGGGAGUUCGAUUCUCCUCAGAGAUCA